rnacentral:rRNA from 1 species
UACGGGGGGGGCAAGCGUUGUUCGGAAUUACUGGGCGUAAAGGGCGCGUAGGCGGCUUUUCAAGUCGGGCGUGAAAUCUCCAGGCUUAACCUGGAAGGGUCGUUCGAUACUGUUAAGCUAGAGUGUGGAAGAGGCUACUGGAAUUCCGUGUGUAGCGGUGAAAUGCGUAGAUAUCAGGAAGAACACCGGUGGCGAAAGCGCUCUGCUAGGCCGCAACUGACACUGAGGGACGAAAGCUAGGGGAGCGAAUGGG